GAUGAACGCUGGCGGCGUGCUUAACACAUGCAAGUCGAACGAUGAAGCCCAGCUUGCUGGGUGGAUUAGUGGCGAACGGGUGAGUAACACGUGAGUAACCUGCCCUUAACUCUGGGAUAAGCCUGGGAAACUGGGUCUAAUACCGGAUAGGAGCGUCCACCGCAUGGUGGGUGUUGGAAAGAUUUAUCGGUUUUGGAUGGACUCGCGGCCUAUCAGCUUGUUGGUGAGGUAAUGGCUCACCAAGGCGACGACGGGUAGCCGGCCUGAGAGGGGGACCGGCCACACUGGGACUGAGACACGGCCCAGACUCCUACGGGAGGCAGCAGGGGGGAAUAUUGCACAAUGGGCGCAAGCCUGAUGCAGCGACGCCGCGUGAGGGAUGACGGCCUUCGGGUUGUAAACCUCUUUCAGUAGGGAAGAAGCGAAAGUGACGGUACCUGCAGAAGAAGCACCGGCUAACUACGUGCCAGCAGCCGCCGUAA
rnacentral:rRNA from 1 species